AAGGAACUCGGCAAAAUAGUCUCAUAACUUCGGGAGAAGAGGCCUCCUGAUAAAGGAAGUCGCAGUGACCUAGCAUAGGCAACUAUUUAUCAAAAACACAGGUCGCGAAGUCUUAAGACUAUGUAUGAGGCUAAUGCCUACCCAAUGCUAGAAGAUCGAGAAAGUUGGUGACCUAAUGACAGGGGAGGCGAUGACCAAACCCCUGGUGAAUGGCGGUCGUAAUUAUAACGGUCCUAAGGUAGCGUAAUUACCAAAGACAAAUAGGUCUUUCUUUCCUA
rnacentral:ncRNA from 1 species